GGGGAAUCUUCCGCAAUGGGCGAAAGCCUGACGGAGCAAUACCGCGUGAGGGAGGAAGGCUCUUGGGUUGUAAACCUCUUUUCUCAGGGAAGAAUUCAUGACGGUACCUGAGGAAUAAGCAUCGGCUAACUCUGUGCCAGCAGCCGCGGUAAUACAGAGGAUGCAAGCGUUAUCCGGAAUGAUUGGGCGUAAAGCGUCCGCAGGUGGUUUUGUAAGUCUGCUGUUAAAGCGUGCAGCUUAACUGCAUAAAGGCGGUGGAAACUAUAAGACUAGAGUACGUUCGGGGUAGAGGGAAUUCCCAGUGUAGCGGUGAAAUGCGUAGAGAUUGGGAAGAACACCAGUGGCGAAGGCGCUCUGCUAGGACUGUACUGACACUGAGGGACGAAAGCUAGGGGAGCGAAAGGGAUUAGAUACCCC
rnacentral:rRNA from 1 species